UAUGUACUCCUUCCGUCCGAAAAAGCUUGUCCCUUAAAUGGUUGUAUCUAGCACCAAGUUAGUGCUAGAUACAUCCAUUUGAGAGACAAGCUAUUUCGGACGGAGGGAGUAUUUA
rnacentral:pre_miRNA from 1 species